GCUGGGCGUGGUGAGGCACGCCUGUAAUCCCAGAGGCUGAGGCAGGAGGAUCACGAGUUCAAAGCCAGCCUCAGCAAAAAUGAGAUGCUAAACAACUCAGUGAGACCCUGUCUCUA
rnacentral:sRNA from 1 species